UAAUUUUAAAAUAAUUAAUUACGAAUCCGAUUCCCAAUAUGAGCAGUAAAUAAUUUAGGUUUGAAACGAUGAAGAAAAUCCUGAUCUGCCAGGCUACAGCUGCAUCCAUCCUGCAAAGCAUUGUUGUUGACUACCUGUGUGUUGAUGAAUGUUUUAUUUUUGUUGGAAUGUUUGUGUUGGAGUUUUCGCUAUGAAAUUAAGAAUAUAUAUAUACAGUACAGAUCAGGAACGACCCUGUUCGCACGGUCGCUCCUGACGGUACCCUGCCCUCCACCGUCCGAUUUUUAAAUAAGGGACUUCAUGCUCGCGGAACCUCUGCUAGCGGAAUCGGAACCCAUCGCUCCCUCGCGGAACCCAUGCUCCAUCCUCGCGCAAUCGGAACCCAUGCUCCAUCCUCGCUCCCUCGCGGAACCUCUGCUCGCGGAAUCGGAACCCAUCGCUCCCUCGCGGAACCCAUGCUCCAUCCUCUGCUCGCGCAAUCGGUUCUGGAAUGAACCCAUGCUCCAUCCUCGCGCAAUCGGAACCCAUCCUCGCGGAACCCAUCGCUCCCUCGCGGAACCUCUGCUCGCGGAAUCGGAACCCAUCGCUCCCUCGCGGAACCCAUGCUCCAUCCUCUGCUCGCGGAAUCGGUUCUGGAAUGAACCCAUGCUCCAUCUUAGCGCAAUCGGAAACCAUGCUCCAUCCUCGCGGAACCCAUCGCUCCCUCGUGGAACUUCUGCUCCAUCCUCUGCUCGCGGAAUCGGUUCUGGAAUGAACGGUGAUCGGAAUGAACGAUGGCGAAAAUCGGAAUGGACGGUAAGUAUGAAUGGAUUAAAAUAGGAGAUCUCGAGUACGUGUAAUGAUAUAAUCUGACCAUUGAUUAAUCAAUUUUCAUCGAAUCUCUACCAUUUAAUAAUGAUGUGCAUUAAAUUAAAUUAAAAACCAGCUGGAUUAUUUAAUGUAGGUAAAUAAGUAAAUUUGUAUCUUAUAGAGUUAUAGUAAUUAAUCUUUAAUGAUGUAGAUAAAAUACGGAAUUAAACUAAUUAAUCAAUAUCCCAAACAGGAUUCAUCGAUUCAGGCAAUUAAUCACCUAAAUUUCGCAAAACAGAAAAGAAGAAAUAGAAUAAUUAAUCAAAUCAAUCGACACUCAGCAUCCAU
rnacentral:lncRNA from 1 species